rnacentral:piRNA from 1 species
GACUGUAAGAAUGUCUGUGCUGUAUGC